CUGUUAGAGCCCCACCCAGGGCAGGUUCCCAGAGGGAGAGAGAAAGGCUCAGAGCUGACUGGGCCCCAAGGUCAACCAGGAAAAUGAGGUGAACUACAGGGGUUUGAGAACUUCCUGCCUGAGCCGUGCCCUUCUCCAGCAACCACAGAUGGAACUGAAAGGAAAAAGGAAAAGCAGCAGACCGGCCAGAAGAACCUAGAAGGAUAGAGGGACACUAAUUCCUCCCCAGCAGUUGAUGACAAGGAUGGAAUGAAACUUUACUGGCUGGACACUACUCGCCCUAAGGCUACUACAGUUAAGAGAUCCUGGGACACCUGACAAAAGCAGGCAAAAGCAAGCAGCCAUGCUGGGGAACCCCAUGUGAUGAGGAACUAUAGGCAGCCUCUGAGAGAUGACGGUGGUCUCCGGUCAAUAUCCAGCAAGAAACGAAAGCCCUCAGUCCUGCAUCCCCAAUGAACUGAACUCUGCCAACAACUCGAGUGACCUUGGAGCAGAUCCUUCCACAGUUAAGCCUCAGAUGAGACCACAGCCCUGGCCCUUAUUGCAGCCUUACAAAACCUUAAAAAGAGGACCCAGUUAAACUGCGUUCAGGCUCCUGACCUGCAGAAACCAUAAGAUAAGGAAUGUUUUUGUUUUAAGCUGCUAAGUUUGUGACAAUUUGUUAUACAGCAAUAGAUGAUUAAUACAGCAUUUGUCUGACCCUGAUAGUGAGCGUCUCCUUAAAUUUUGCACCCUAAGUGCCCCCCGUUGCCUCACCCUAGUUCCAGCUCUGGUGCGAAUUGUGGUUUAGGAUGUGUGCAAACACAGUACCUGAAUGAGCAGUGUCAUUGGGCCAUUCUUAUCAAUUUCCAGGAUCUCUCCAUUUUUCUUUCCCACCAGGAUAUGUCCAUGUCCCAAAGUGAUGGCAUGAAUUGAAGGGUUAUCUUCCAAAAGCAAGCUUGAGGAGGAAAAAAUGCAUUUUAUACUGUAAAUGUUGUAUUUAAUAUAAUAAAAAAUAAAGCGAUUGUAAUGAUUUUUUAAAAAAGAGAAUCCGCCUGCCAAUGCAGGGGACACGGGUUCCAGCCCUGGCCCGGGAGGAUCCCACAUGCCGCGGAGCAGCUAAGCCCGUGUCCCACAACUACUGAGCCUGCGCUCUAGAACCUGUGAGCCACAACUACUGAAGCCCGCACACCUAGAGCCUGUGCUCCACAAGAGAAGCCACUGCGAUGAGAAGCCCACGCACCACAACGAAGAGUAGCCCCCCGCUCGCUGCAACUAGAGAAGCCCUGAGCACAGCAACGAAGACCCA